AGACUGGAGGGCGAUCUGGCUGCAGAGUCUGUCAUCUCAUCGAUGGGCAGCGUUGAUUGGCCUGAUCUGGCUGGCUAGGUAGGUGACCCCUUCCUCCCUCACUGCUCCAUGUGUACCCUCCUGAAGCUGCACACUGAAUUGAAGAGGAUGGCCAUCCCCAAUAGGGGAGGACCACUUCCUCCAAACACGCUCUCAAAAACAAACAGAAACACGGUAAGGACAUAGCUCAGUGUUCGACC
rnacentral:sRNA from 1 species